AGGUACUCCUCGACUCAGGUGCAAUGAAGUUGCAGCUGCUUUGUGUCCCAGAUCCUUGCUGGGACUGCAGCGUAACUGAAUAGUUGCUCUGUCAUGUCCUGGCAGUGACUGUAAAGUAAAAAGGCUCUGGCAGACGAUGAGUCCCUGAUUGCCCCAGUUUUCUCAGUCUCAAAUAGGUUAUUGUCCUUCUUUCCUCUCUGGUGCUAACAAGCUUCUUCUGUAAAAACCCUUCCCCCUCUGAUGCUGGGACACUGAUUCUAGAGCUUGCAAGACCACCAAAAAUGAGGUCUCCUGCUGAAUCACAGUCUUUUAUAAACAGAAAAAGGAAAGGAGCAGGGCAAACAGAGAGUGGGAGGACUAGGAACUGGGUGAAGUACUCUGGGAACACCCGUUGGCCCACGGUGAUACAAAGGGCUGAUGGUUGCUGUGGGCUCCAGCAGUAAGGACAAUAUUUGUGUCAUUCCUGUAGUACAAUGGGUAUGAAUCUGGAGCUGCCAUGCACUGGAGUCCCUCAGAGAACGCAAACUCCACUGAUCUUGGUACUGACUAAUCCCCCACACAGUACAGGCUGUCUCCUUCAGUAGCAAGUCAUGGUCAUCAUGGCAACCACAAGCAGAGCUGCUUGUGAGCAAAUGGCAGCAAAUGGCUGCUUAAGGUAGCAGUCUCUGUGUGACUUUUCAAGCCCCUCUUCCAUCCACAGGACUUCUUUUGUCCAUGAUACAGAAUUACUAAUUCCUCCAGUACCAGGAGAGGCUGGUGGGGAGAGGGGGAUGCUCCACCUGAACAACCUGCAGAAAGGGACCAACAGAAACUCCCUUUUGAUGAAAUACCACUCUCACUUGAACAGGGAAUGCUGUGCCCAUGGAAGAGGGAAGGACAGACUGCAAACCAGCAAAGGAUCCGCUGUGCCAGUCCAGCCACUGACUGCCAAACCUUUGUACUGUCUUAGGGAGUUGCUCUCCUGAAGGAAGUUUAUCUGCUUGUAAUGGAAAAGGGCAGUGCGUAGCCUGAAGGUGUGCUGGAUUGAUGUUUGGUAAUAUUAUACAGGAGUAGCUGCAAGGGGGCACAUCCCCCUGCCAGACCAGAGGAGAACUGAGCAACAGGCUCUAUUUGCUGGUAAACUGAAGAUACCACAAUGACCACAGGAAGAGGGAGAUCCUCAGAGAAAGGAUGGGGAAGAUCUGAAGGAACCUGCAGACCAUUCUGAUUCCUGUCCAGCAAGUCACUAGCCUAAGAAGCAUCUGCUUUCUAGGCAACUGACAGGUAAGAGGAAAUAACUUGUACUAUGGCCCUGGGACAAAUGCCAAUUUGCCUGUGAGACAGGAGGUUAAAGGCUGUUUAUAUGAUUAACAUUCAGUUAAGGCACUUCUUGUUCACAUGACAGUCUAAGGAGUGCCAGGCCUGACUUGAGCACCAGUAUGGCAUCUCCAGAAGGAAAGAGGUGAAAUGUCUUAUUUGAAACAUAACCAUAAUUUUGCAUAUAUAUAUAUUUUUAAACUUUUUGAUUUGUAUUCUUAUAUGUUCUCUAUUAAAGCACUCUAGACAGUCUAAAUGAGCCUGUGUUCUCCCCCCACCUCCUUCUCUUUUUCCCCCAUCCCUCACCUCUUCUUUGAGAUCUCUUUGAGAUCUGUACAAGAAAAAGAUGCAGGUAGCAUUCCCCUCAAAGCCAUACUGGGCUCUACAGAGC